UUUCUCUGCUGCAAGUGAUGGAAUGUAAACAAGAACUUGGUUGAGCGUUUCAGUCAGGAAGUACAAGUCACAGAAGCGCGCUGUUUCUAUGGCUUUCAAAUUGCAAUGGAGAAUAUUCAUCCGGAGAUGUACAGCCUUCUCAUUAACACAUAUAUUAAAGAUCCCAAAGAGAGGGAGUUCUUGUGCAAUGCAA